GUCUUAUCAAGAGAGGUGGAGGGACUGGCCCAAUGAAACCCGACAACCAGUAUCGCAAGAUACAUGGUGUUAAAUCCUGCAGCAUGGCUGCAAGAUAAGAA
rnacentral:ncRNA from 2 species